rnacentral:rRNA from 1 species
CCUACGGGGGGCUGCAGUGGGGAAUAUUGGACAAUGGGGGCAACCCUGAUCCAGCCAUGCCGCGUGUGUGAAGAAGGCCCUCGGGUUGUAAAGCACUUUCAGUGAGGAAGAACGCCUGGUGGUUAAUACCCAUCAGGAAAGACAUCACUCACAGAAGAAGCACCGGCUAACUCCGUGCCAGCAGCCGCGGUAAUACGGAGGGUGCGAGCGUUAAUCGGAAUUACUGGGCGUAAAGCGCGCGUAGGUGGCUUGAUAAGCCGGUUGUGAAAGCCCCGGGCUCAACCUGGGAACGGCAUCCGGAACUGUCAAGCUAGAGUGCAGGAGAGGAAGGUAGAAUUCCCGGUGUAGCGGUGAAAUGCGUAGAGAUCGGGAGGGAUACCAGUGGCGAAGGCGGCCUUCUGGACUGACACUGACACUGAGGUGCGAAAGCGUGGGUAGCAAACAGGAUUAGAUACCCUAGUAGUC